CAACGGUGAAACUCAAAGGAAUUGACGGGGGCCCGCACAAGCGGAGGAACAUGUGGUUUAAUUCGAUGAUACGCGAGGAACCUUACCCGGGCUUAAAUUGCACCUGAAUAAUGUGGAAACAUGUUAGCCGUAAGGCAGGUGUGAAGGUGCUGCAUGGUUGUCGUCAGCUCGUGCCGUGAGGUGUCGGCUUAAGUGCCAUAACGAGCGCAACCCUUAUCUUCAGUUACUAACAGGUCAUGCUGAGGACUCUGGAGAGACUGCCGUCGUAAGAUGUGAGGAAGGUGGGGAUGACGUCAAAUCAGCACGGCCCUUACGUCCGGGGCUACACACGUGUUACAAUGGGAGGUACAGAAGGCCGCUACCUGGCGACAGGAUGCCAAUCCCCAAAACCUCUCUCAGUUCGGAUCGAAGUCUGCAACCCGACUUCGUGAAGCUGGAUUCGCUAGUAAUCGCGCAUCAGCCAUGGCGCGGUGAAUACGUUCCCGGGCCUUGUACACACCGCCCGUCAAGCCAUGAAAG
rnacentral:rRNA from 1 species